GGAAUUGUAUGAUUGAAAAACUGAUAAAAAUUAUGAAUCCCAUAAAAUAUAUGUUAAAAGUGAAUUUAGGGGAAGAUCUAAAACAUUGGAACCAAAUAUAGCAUAGUAGUAUGAAAAUGUGUUAAAAACUGGGAGAGCUGUGUGUUUAUUAUUAUUAUUAUUAUUAUUAUUAUUAUUCUGGACCACCUUCACUUGGGAGCAUUAAAAGUACAAUUCACACUGAAGUUGAUACUUCCAUUCCAAAAUAUAGACAUUUGAACAAUAUCUACACACUAGCAACCAUCUAUCAUACACAUAGCACGUGUAUUAUUAUUGCAUUAUUGGUCCCAUCCCAUCCUAUUGUUCUAAUAUCAAGUUGAUCCUCAACCUUAUAUUAAGUAUACAUUCACUUUUCCAUGAAAUUGUCUUAAUUUUCGUUACAUUGUCAUGUUAUUCUCAAGAAAACAUACUUCAUUCAAAUUCAUAUACACCAAUUUAAAUUAGGAAACGAAACUUAAUUUCAUAAACUCAGACAUACUAGUGCUAAUUCAUAUGACAUACAUCAGUUAUUUAGCCGAUUUGGACUUAGAAAUUGACACUGGAAUUUAGUGAAAAGGUGAAAACGUAUUCAAGGUCAAGGACCAACUUGAUAGUCGAGUAACAAGUUGGGAAACGAAACAAAUUAUUAUGUAUAUGUAUGAUGUAUCUAUAUAGAGAGAGGGUGAGAGGACUAGGAGUUACCUUUGCCAAAAGGAAGGUAACAUUGGCAGGUAGUAUGGAGUAGUGGUCCUAUAUUUCCCCUUUGUUAAAUUGGCCCCUCAACUUGAAAGAGAAAGGUAAAGGGAUAGUAGGCUUAUCCACUUACU
rnacentral:lncRNA from 1 species